AAAGCGUCGUCGGGAUUAUAAAAACGCGCACGCCGCGCACUGAGGUCUUUUUCGCAUUGGUUGUGCAUGCUAUGCUUUCUGUGUGGUCCCCGCGGGUCUCCGCGACUACAUGACUUUUGGUCCCUCGUUUGUGAGCGGCCAAGAUGCGGGAGACGCUGGGCCGUUGCGGUGCAGGCCGGCGGCCGUCAGCACCGCGGGAGCGUGGUGAGGGCUAGCACGCGGGCCAAGGCCGUGGGAAGCCGGGCUCGUUAGGCGGCGCCACGCCGGGGAACGCUUUCCUGCACGGUAACCAGGAUUCAUUCCUGUUCCCUGAUGGGAGACAUGUUAAGGUAAUUAAAGAAAAGGAAUAGUGGCUGAGAUCUUGUGGGCAUCUUACAGGGGAUCUUCACAGGAGUUGAGUGUCGUGGAUUUUAAUGCAGCACUGUUUUCAAUACAGUCCUGACCUUUAUUUCUUAGUUCUUUCAUGAGUCAAAUAAAGUUUGGUUGGUGAGUAAUAAAA